rnacentral:rRNA from 1 species
UACAGAGGUCUCAAGCGUUGUUCGGAUUCAUUGGGCGUAAAGGGCGCGUAGGUGGUGAUGCAAGUCUGGUGUGAAAUCUCGGAGCUUAACUCCGAAAUUGCACCGGAUACUGCGUUGCUCGAGGACUGUAGAGGAGAUCGGAAUUCACGGUGUAGCAGUGAAAUGCGUAGAGAUCAUGAGGAAGACCAGUGGCGAAGGCGGGUCUCUGGACAGUUCCUGACGCUGAGACACGAAGGCCAGGGGAGCAAACAGG